UACGUAGGGUGCAAGCGUUGUUCGGAAUUAUUGGGCGUAAAGGGAGUGUAGGCGGCUUGUUAAGUCUUCUGUGAAAUCUACGGGCUUAGCCUGUAAAGUGCAGAGGAAACUGGCGAGCUUGAGUGUCGGAGAGGGUAGCGGAAUUCCCGGUGUAGAGGUGAAAUUCGUAGAGAUCGGGAGGAACACCAGUGGCGAAGGCGGCUCCCUGGCUGACAACUGACGCUGAGACGCGAAAGCGUGGGGAGCAAACAGG
rnacentral:rRNA from 1 species